rnacentral:tRNA from 1 species
GUUGAGGUGGCAGAGUACGGAUAGUGCAAAAGAUUUAAGCCCUUUAAACAGAGGUUCAACUCCUCUCCCCAACU